rnacentral:rRNA from 1 species
GUAGGUGGCAAGCGUUGUCCGGAAUUAUUGGGCGUAAAGCGCGCGCAGGCGGUUCUUUAAGUCUGAUGUGAAAGCCCACGGCUCAACCGUGGAGGGUCAUUGGAAACUGGAGAACUUGAGUACAGAAGAGGAAAGCGGAAUUCCACGUGUAGCGGUGAAAUGCGUAGAGAUGUGGAGGAACACCAGUGGCGAAGGCGGCUUUCUGGUCUGUAACUGACGCUGAGGCGCGAAAGCGUGGGGAGCAAACAGGGAUUAGAUACCCUGGUAGUCCACGCCGUAAACGAUGAGUGCUAAGUGUUAGGGGGUUUACCGCCCCCUUAGUGCUGCAGCUAACGCAUUAAGCACUCCGCCUGGGGAGUACGGCCGCAAGGCUG